ACUGUCUAGUGAGCAAUUGAACAGAAGGGUGAAGGGCAGGAGCCUUUGACUUGCCCAGUGCACUUAAUUGCCUUGUUCUCCUCUCUUCCAGGCCAGGACCAAGCCCUGAUCCAGCCCAGCUCUGCCAAGUGCCCUGGGCUGUGAGCAGCCCAAGGCAAGAGGCUGCAGCCCCGCCGGCCGGCGCUGGGGGCUCCUGGUGCUGCCCGUGGGCUGGGAUGCUGGAAUUGCCUCUCUGGGUGUGUGCUGAGCUCUGGCUGCAGGGGACUGUCAGGCCUUGGUGGCUCUGUUCCCUGAUGUCCAUUCCCUGGCCUGAAUUCCUUGCAGCUCCCAGCUGGGGUAACCUGGGAGAACAUGGCAGGGACAGAGGUGACAUUUGUAGCUGCCAACUUGGGGUAAUUUCGAGGGGACACAGCAACUGUUUGUGUAGGAAAAGGGGAGGUGCUGCAGAGGGGAGGGAGGUGCAUU